rnacentral:rRNA from 1 species
UACGAAGGGGGCCAGCGUUGUUCGGAAUUACUGGGCGUAAAGCGUGCGCAGGCGGCGCGUUAAGACAGGUGUGAAAGCCCCGAGCUUAACUUGGGAAUUGCGCUUGUGACUGGCGUGCUGGAGUGUGGCAGAGGGAGGUGGAAUUCCACGUGUAGCAGUGAAAUGCGUAGAGAUGUGGAGGAACACCGAUGGCGAAGGCAGCCUCCUGGGCCAGCACUGACGCUCAUGCACGAAAGCGUGGGGAGCAAACAGG